rnacentral:misc_RNA from 1 species
ACGGAAGAUGGGGAUUAUCAGGUAAAACUGCGCAACCUGAUACGUUUCCUAGAAGAGGGUGACAAAGCCAAAAUCACACUACGUUUCCGUGGUCGUGAAAUGGCACACCAAGAGCUAGGUAUGAAAUUGAUGAAUCGCAUCGAGGCAGACCUAGGUGAGCUUGUAGUGGUUGAGAGCCGUCCAAGGCUUGAAGGCCGCCAAAUGGUUAUGGUGUUGUCACCGAAGAAGAAAAAGUGACUCUGAAUCUUCAGCGUUAAACCAUCUGUAUUAUUAAAUGCAGGUGGUUUGUUGUUGUAUUCAGUUUUUAAUAAUUUGAAUGCGGAGUAUUUUUAAAAAUGCCUA